GUCUUCUGCUGAACACGCUGUGACAAUUCCCGCAAGGAAACUUUUGCAUGUGUUGUUCGUCUGUUCGCGAGAACGUGCUUCCUCUGAUCGAUGACCAACGAACUUCCUUUUCCUUCUGCUGCGGUGUUAAGUAGUUUGUCUCUGAAAAAAAAUCACAAAUAUCUCGUUCACAUUUUUGUAUUGCUCGGCCCCAAAAUUUUCAAGAAAUUCUCGAAACUUUGUGCCAUGUUCCGUUUUCAAACUUUCAGGAUUUCUAGACUCGAGUUAAAAGUAUCAAGAACGAUCGAACUUCGGUUCAACUCGGCAAUAAUCGGAAAUGAUUCGGAGCUACAGAACCGACCACGUCCGAUUAUUGCCGAAUCGAGUCGAAGCCGGACUAACUGUUUAUAUAUUAAUUCGAGUUUUAGAAUCUGGAAAAUUUUCGAAACUUUGAGAAUUCUUAAAGAAUUUCUAAAUUCCGAGCAACAUAAAAAUAUUAUUAUCACCCCAAAUCUCGAGGUCCAAUAUAUAUCUCACAAUAUAUAAAUAUACAAUAAUAUCACGAUAUAAUAAGACACGUACGAAGGAAACGCAUGCACGCAAGGAUUUUUCAAUGAACGAGCGAGUGUUCGUCAACAUUUUAGUCGUAUGCUUCACUCAGUGUUGAAUACUCAUUAGAUCGACAACGUAGACUUCUCUAUCAGGAUGCUUCCUACGCACAUGGGCCCUAACGUUCGACGUGUGUUUAGUCUUGUAAGCGCAAUAGGGACAGUUGAAUCGUGGCAAUUGUCCACAAGCGUACUUCAAAUGAUGCUGCAGAUUGUACCGCCAGGUGAAUGUACGUCCACAUUUUGGACAUAGGUGUCUCAUCUCCUUGCGGAGAACUCGAGGAUGAGUCGUUUUACGAUUCGCCAUCGCGCGACACCAUCCGUAAUUUUGGAUGUGGUUUGAUAAUUGCUCUGAAAAAUACAAAUAUUCUCAUGGUUAAUCGUUUUAGAUGAAUAUCACGACACAAUUUCAAUUUCAACACAUCUAACAACUAAGUCACUCGCCACGCUGCUCGAUCGAAGAAUUCGUUUCACAACGCGCAGAAUGGGCCAAAAAUCACGAAACCAUUUUCGUUUCGGGAAAUAAUAUCACGGGAGUAUCCUCCUUUCUAUAAACAUUGCAUAACAUAUUAUUUAUCAACGUUUU